rnacentral:rRNA from 1 species
UGGGGAAUCUUGCACAAUGGGCGAAAGCCUGAUGCAGCGACGCCGCGUGAGCGAUGAAGCCCUUCGGGGCGUAAAGCUCUUUCGACGGGGACGAUAAUGACGGUACCCGGAGAAGAAGCUGCGGCUAACUACGUGCCAGCAGCCGCGGUAAUACGUAGGCAGCGAGCGUUGUUCGGAAUUACUGGGCGUAAAGAGUGCGUAGGCGGUGCUCCAAGUCUGUUGUGAAAUCUCCCGGCUUAACUGGGAGGGUGCGGCGGAAACUAGAGUGCUAGAGGGUGGGAUAGGUAAGCGGAAUUCCUGGUGUAGCGGUGAAAUGCGUAGAUAUCAGGAGGAACACCUGUGGUGUAGACAGCUUACUGGACCACUUCUGACGCUGAGGCACGAAAGCGUGGGUAGCAAACAGGAUUAGAUACCCUGGUAGUCCACGCCCUAAACGAUGCAUACUUGGUGUGGGCGAUUCAUUUCGUUCGUGCCGGAGCUAACGCGUUAAGUAUGCCGCCUGGGGAGUACGGUCGCAAGGCUG